GCUUUCCUGUGGCUCAGUUGGUAGAGUGCUGCACUAGCAAUGCAAACGUUGUGGGAUCAAAUCCCAGGGAAAUCA